AUUCAGCUGACCAGUCCCAAAUAUGACGUAAUGCGCGUCAAACUGGAU
rfam:Schistosoma haematobium scaffold996_6, whole genome shotgun sequence.